rnacentral:rRNA from 1 species
GACGAACGCUGGCGGCGUGCUUAACACAUGCAAGUCGAACGGAAAGGCCCUGCUUUUGUGGGGUUCUCGAGUGGCGAACGGGUGAGUAACACGUGAGUAACCUGCCCUUGACUUUGGGAUAACUUCAGGAAACUGGGGCUCAUACAGGAUAGGAGCUCCUGCUGCAUGGUGGGGGUUGGAAAGUUUCGGCGGUUGGGGAUGGACUCGCGGCUUAUCCGCUUGUUGGUGGGGUAGUGGCUUACCAAGGCUUUGACGGGUAGCCGGCCUGAGAGGGUGACCGGCCACAUGGGGACUGAGAGACGGCGCAGAAGGGUACGGGAGGCAGUAGGGGGGAGUAUUGCACAGUGGGCGGAAGUGUGAUGCAGCAACGCCGCGUGCGGGAUGAUGGCUUUCGGGUUGUAAACCGAUUUCGCCUGUGACGAAGAGGGAGUGACGGUAAUGGGUAAAGAAGCACCGGCUAACUACGUG